GCACUGCUGAGGAGUAUAACAAUAAGACGAAACGGCCGUCCAGUGC
rnacentral:hammerhead_ribozyme from 1 species